rnacentral:misc_RNA from 1 species
UACCCCCUCUCCCCCCUUUCACACACCGUGCGAAAUCGGGCAGGUUGUGGUCUUGUGCUGCGGCACUUGGCCGAAAUUCAGUGAUACUGCAGGGACCGUUAAUCGGACUCCAGCUUGGUAGGCUUUUCCCUUGUGGAAUUAUGCAUGCCGCUGUUGGCCGUGGACCACUGCAGCUGUCAAGCAGGGAAACCUUUCAAA